GUUCAGUUGUUCGAAGCAGCUUGGGUUUCUUUGUUUGUUUGUUUGUUUUGUUCCUUGUAGUUCUGCUGUGUUAACUCAUGGAAAUUGCUCAGGGACAGAUUUAAAUCGAAACAGACAGUUUCCAUUUUUGCUCUGUAACUAGAAUGCUGUGCCAAACAGGAAAGCUGACAAGGAAGCAUCCUGCUAAGGUGUUACCUACCUUCAAGAUAUAAUCAGACUGCAAAGAAACAAAGAAAAACAGCCAUUGCUCUGGAUAGAGAAGAGUGUUUGAAAAGGGAAAGAGACCUCAAAUGUCCCCCCAGAAUGACUUCAGUGGAAGUUCUACAUCUAGAGUGCUUGCAGGAUCAUGCCUAUACAGUAUAAAGG